AAACCAUGCAACGGGCAUUUUCGCAACAAGUCUUUAAACCUCUCACAUGCUUCAUAAAAUUUUUCAUCUUCCAUUUUAUUGAAAGAUGUGAUGUUGUUUCUUAGCCU